UAGGGAAUCUUCGGCAAUGGACGGAAGUCUGACCGAGCAACGCCGCGUGAGUGAAGAAGGUUUUCGGAUCGUAAAGCUCUGUUGUUAGAGAAGAACGUUGGUAGGAGUGGAAAAUCUACCAAGUGUCGGUAACUAACCAGAAAGGGACGGCUAACUACGUGCCAGCAGCCGCGGUAAUACGUAGGUCCCGAGCGUUGUCCGAAUUUAUUGGGCGUAAAGCGAGCGCAGGCGGUUCUUUAAGUCUGAAGUUAAAGGCAGUGGCUUAACCAUUAUACGCUUUGGAAACUGGAGGACUUGAGUGCAGAAGGGGAGAGUGGAAUUCCAUGUGUAGCGGUGAAAUGCGUAGAUAUAUGGAGGAACACCGGUGGCGAAAGCGGCUCUCUGGACUGUAACUGACGCUGAGGCUCGAAAGCGUGGGGAGCAAACAGG
rnacentral:rRNA from 1 species